GUCGCAAUUGCCAGCAACCGUUAAGGAGCUGAGUUGCACCUGCCUUAUAAGAAGGCUUGCUCUGAUAAGCACACCCAUGCAUUCCGAUUGGCAAAUGCACAUUGAUGACUAAAAAUCGUCUCUACAUCAACACCCAUCCUCUCAAACCCUCUUCCUCUUAUUUAUUUCAAACACGUGUCCUCCCAUUCUUCCAAUCUCUAUGAGCAACAAGCCUUGCCUGUCCAACCUUUCUGUUCCAGACAACCCAUCCAUUCCAGAAUAGCUCUCACAAACCUCUGAAAGAAGGCACAAAGUGCCAGAGUAACUCAGUGGGUCAGGCAACAUCUCAGGAAAACAUGGAUAGGUUAUGUUUCAGAUUGGCACUCUUCUUCAGACUCUGGAGAAGCACUCCAGCAUUUUGUGUCUUUUUUUUGUAAACCUGCAUCUGCAGUUUCUCUGAACUUCUUCUAAUGCGUUUAAACGCUUCCAUAAAUAACAAGGCUAUUACUGUGCUUAGAAUUCCAAAUUAGAUUUCACCAUUACCCUAUAUAACUGAAACAUGAGCCCCACCGCGGGGACGUGGACUUGCCAUCGGAGCCGAUCCCUUGCCUGAGAUCGAUGCUCCAACCGUGGCUUGGGAAUUUCAACAUCGGGUAGAGACCAAGUCGGGAAGCUCCAACGACGCAGAAGGUUCGACUAGCCCUGACCUGGGGUCUGAUCACCCGGCGCAGGGGAGCUGAGAUUCCCCCGCCGAUGCAGGAGCUUGAUCUCCCCCGAAUGUGGAGGGCCCAAACGCCGCCGGCUAGGAGAGUCAAGAUCGCCCCGUCAAGGAGAGGCUCGAGGCCCCCGACUGCGGAAGAACUAAGAAGGGAAGAGAUUGAACUUUUUUUUGCCUUCCAUCACAGUGAGAAAUGUGGAGGAGUCACUGUGGUGGAUGUUUAUGUUAAAAUGUAUUUUGUGUGUUUUGUUGCUUUUUAAUGGUAUGAUGGCUGUGUGGCAAAUCAAAUUCCUCCUAUGUUGCAAAACAUACUUGGCUAAUAAAGUAUGAUUAUAAUUAAUAUUGGACAUACUUUAACGUUAUACUGUUCAGUGAUCGACAUCAUCAUAAAAGACAGGGCAUGCAUGCAUUCUGAAACAUGUAAAGGCAAGACGACUAUGACACAAAUCAGAAGAGGCUUUAGCAUAGGCACCAUAACCAAACCAAUGGCAGAUGAGUUUUCUUGUAGAAACUGGCCUGGCUAUUAGCAAGGAACAAGACAAUUAUUUAUGCAUUGCUAACAUAGAGAGGAAUAUCAAAAUUUGCUUCCUUGCUUUAAGGAGAUUUAUAAAGAAUGAAAAAGCUCUGCAGUUUUCUGUUGGGAAAUAUAACUGGAUGACUGGCAUUAAAAAAUAAAAUGGAAAAACAUAAUAAUUGGCAUUAAAGAUGAAGAUCAACAUGGGACACCAAUUACUCUUAGGUUAAUGCAGCAAAAGGAUAAAAGUAUUUACGAUGAGUUAAAGUAGAUGAAGGAAGUUAAAAUAAGCACCUACACUUGAACAGUGCUAGAAACACCAUUAUUCUACAUGCUUCACAAACAUCUGUAAUAAACAAACUGUUUAUUGCUGUAAAAUGAGUUUAUAAAGAGAAAAAGGCCACUGUGCAAUCUUUAGUUACACAAUAUUUUAAGAAUGAUGAGCAGGAGGCAGAGUCCACAUCAUCGACUACCUCAGAAAAGUCAACAGCAAAAUCACCCCAAAAUCUCAGUUUUCCAUGUAUACUAUCUGCAUCAUCCUCAUUUAAGACUAUAACACGUAAGAGCAGAAUUAGGCCAUUCUGUCCAUUGAGUCUACUUCGCCAUUUAAUAAUGGCUAAUCUAUUUUUCCCUUUCAGCUCCAUUCUCCUGCCUCCCCGUAACCUUUGACGCCUUUCCUAACCAAAAACCUAUAAAUGUCCACUUUUAAAAUACACAAUGUCAUGGCCUCCGCAGAUGUCUAUGGCAAUUAAUUCCACAGAUUCACCGCCCUCUGGCUAAAGAAAUUCCUCUUCAACACAGAGGCUGUGUCCACUGGUUCAGAUUCCGCUAGUUUAUUGUCACGUUACCGAGAGACAGUGAAGACUUUUGUUUGUGUGCUAUCCUGUCAAAACAUGUCAUACAUGAGUACACUUGGACCAUAAACAAGUCAACCAAGUUGAGCAAGGAGAAAAUACAAUACCGGAGUGCAGAAUAUCGUGUUACAGCAUUAUUGCAUUACAAUUAUAGAAAAACUCGUCAGCUCCAUUCUAAAGAUUGGAUCCAUGAAACUCGUGUACACAAUGAUCCCGUCCAUCCAUGGACUGCAAGGUCAUUCUGUCCUAGGUCUCCUCCAUUGUCAGAAUGAGGCUAACCGCAAAUUGGAGGAACAGCAUCUCAUAUUUCGCUUGGGCAGCUUACAGCACAGUGGUACACAGUAGAGAGCAUGCUGACCGGUUGCAUCGUGGCUUGGUUUGGCAACUUGAGCGCCCUGGAGAGGAAAAGAGGAAAAGACACCAAAAAGUAGUAAACACUGCCCAGUCCAUCAUCGGCUCUGACCUCCCAAC